GGACGCAUAGCUCAGUUGGUUAGAGCACUACCUUGACAUGGUAGGGGUCGGGGAUUCGAGUUCCUCUGCGUCCA
rnacentral:tRNA from 1 species